UACGGGGGGUGCGAGCGUUGUCCGGAAUCACUGGGCGUAAAGGGCGCGUAGGUGGUCUGAUAAGGGUGUGGUGAAAGCCCGGGGCUCAACCCCGGGUCGGCCGUGCCGACUGUUAGACUAGAGUGCUGUAGGGGCAGGCGGAAUUCCGGGUGUAGCGGUGGAAUGCGUAGAGAUCCGGAGGAAGACCGGUGGCGAAGGCGGCCAACUGGCUCGAUACUGACGCUGAGGCGCGAAAGCGUGGGGAGCAAACAGG
rnacentral:rRNA from 1 species